rnacentral:lncRNA from 1 species
CCGGGGGACACCCAGAGGAGCCCUGUCCCUCUGCUGCCGUUCCCGGCCCCAGCCCCGACGGCACGGCCCGUUCCUGCCCUGCCCGCCUCGCCCAGGGCUGCGAGGUGGUGCUGCCCCUGGGCAGCGUUUUCCGACAUCAGCCCGAGCCAAAACCCCGGCCAUGCAAGUCACCCCUGUCCUGGGAAGAGCCUGCGAUAUCCUGGCUGCCUGGGGGUAGCAGGGAGCUCCAGAAAAUACCAAGUGCGUGCUUGGACUGCAUCAAAGCAAUGAGAGACCGAGAGGAAACACGCUGCUGCUGUGCAAAAUGUGGACCAUGUGUGGGAACUAUUUACUCAGAGUGCAACUGCAGGCACCAGGAGAGCUGCUGGCAGAACUGGGGGGCGGUGGAGACCGAGCAACAUCUCUCUCGCGUUUUCCCCCCACCUUGGCUUCCCUAAAGCCAUGUGUGUGUAACGGUGCGUUUUACUGACUUCUCGCUGAGCUUGUGUUGGGUUUUUUGGGGGGUUUGAGGUUUUUCUUCAUUCUAAGGCCUUCACGGUCUGCUUUUGUGUCUCAUCCACCUCAAGCCUCAAGCAAUGGGUUAAAUCUUUAGAGCCUUGCAAGGAAUCAGAGUUAAAAAAAAAAAAAAAGGAAAAAAAAGAAAGAAAAAAGCAUGGGAAAAGGAGUGAGAGCAUGAAGAAGCGGGCAGAGAGGGCUUCACGGUCCCCUGAUCGUCCUUUUGACGGCUACAGAAUAAUAAAAAUAAUUUAUAAUAAUCCCUAGCCUUUAUUUUCUAUUUGGAUGUACCAGGAAGUGCCUCUGGCCUUGAAACUCCCUAUUACCUCUCUUCCCCCAACCCCCGUCCUUUUCUUGGGAAGUGAGAAGAAAAAGGUCUGCAGCUGACAAAUAUUAUCCAUCCUUUUCAUCGAUCGGAGCAUAUACAGAUGUGAUAGCUUGAUGUACGCUGCAAACCGGCUGAUCCAUCGCUUUCUCCCUCUCUGGCUGGCUCUGGUUCGGCCCCCUCCUCCUCC